UACGGAGGGGGCUAGCGUUGUUCGGAAUUACUGGGCGUAAAGCGCACGUAGGCGGCUUUGUAAGUUAGAGGUGAAAGCCUGGUGCUCAACACCAGAACUGCCUUUAAGACUGCAUCGCUUGAAUCAUGGAGAGGCGGGUGGAAUUCCGAGUGUAGAGGUGAAAUUCGUAGAUAUUCGGAAGAACACCAGUGGCGAAGGCGGCCCGCUGGACAUGUAUUGACGCUGAGGGGCGAAAGCGUGGGGAGCAAACAGG
rnacentral:rRNA from 1 species